rnacentral:rRNA from 1 species
UACGAAGGGUGCAAGCGUUAAUCGGAAUUACUGGGCGUAAAGGGUGCGUAGGCGGCCUUUUAAGUCGGAUGUGAAAGCCCCGGGCUUAACCUGGGAAUGGCAUCUGAUACUGGAAGGCUAGAAUCUGGAAGAGGGUGGUGGAAUUCCCGGUGUAGCGGUGAAAUGCGUAGAGAUCGGGAGGAACAUCAGUGGCGAAGGCGGCCACCUGGUCUAAGAUUGACGCUGAGGCACGAAAGCGUGGGGAGCAAACAGG